UACGGGGGGGGGCAAGCGUUGUUCGGAAUUACUGGGCGUAAAGGGCUCGUAGGCGGCCAACUAAGUCCGACGUGAAAUCCCCGGGCUUAACCUGGGAACUGCAUUUGUGACUGCAUGGCUAGAGUACGGUAGAGGGGGAUGGAAUUCCGCGUGUAGCAGUGAAAUGCGUAGAUAUGCGGAGGAACACCGAUGGCGAAGGCAAUCCCCUGGACCUGUACUGACGCUCAUGCACGAAAGCGUGGGGAGCAAACAGG
rnacentral:rRNA from 1 species